rnacentral:rRNA from 1 species
GACGAACGCUGGCGGCGUGCUUAACACAUGCAAGUCGAACGAGAAGAGAUGAGAAGCUUGCUUCUUAUCGAUUCGAGUGGCAAACGGGUGAGUAACGCGUAAGCAACCUGCCCUUCAGAUGGGGACAACAGCUGGAAACGGCUGCUAAUACCGAAUACGUUCUUUUUGUCGCAUGGCAGAGGGAAGAAAGGGAGGCUCUUCGGAGCUUUCGCUGAAGGAGGGGCUUGCGUCUGAUUAGCUGGUUGGUGAGGUAACGGCCUACCAAGGCGACGAUCAGUAGCCGGUCUGAGAGGAUGAACGGCCACACUGGAACUGAGACACGGUCCAGACUCCUACGGGAGGCCAGGCAGUGGGGAAUCUUCCGCAAUGGACG